GUCGAACGAAAUCUUCGGAUUUAGUGGCGGACGGGUGAGUAACGCGUGAGAAUCUGGCUUCAGGUCUGGGACAACCACUGGAAACGGUGGCUAAUACCGGAUGUGCCGAGAGGUGAAAGGUUAACUGCCUGAAGAUGAGCUCGCGUCUGAUUAGCUAGUUGGUAGAGUAAGAGCCUACCAAGGCGACGAUCAGUAGCUGGUCUGAGAGGACGAUCAGCCACACUGGGACUGAGACACGGCCCAGACUCCUACGGGAGGCAGCAGUGGGGAAUUUUCCGCAAUGGGCGAAAGCCUGACGGAGCAAUACCGCGUGAGGGAGGAAGGCUCUUGGGUCGUAAACCUCUUUUCUCAGGGAAGAACACAAUGACGGUACCUGAGGAAUAAGCAUCGGCUAACUCCGUGCCAGCAGCCGCGGUAAUACGGAGGAUGCAAGCGUUAUCCGGAAUGAUUGGGCGUAAAGCGUCCGCAGGUGGCAAUGUAAGUCUGCUGUUAAAGAGUCUAGCUCAACUAGAUAAGAGCAGUGGAAACUACAUAGCUAGAGUACGUUCGGGGCAGAGGGAAUUCCUGGUGUAGCGGUGAAAUGCGUAGAGAUCAGGAAGAACACCAGUGGCGAANGCGCUCUGCUAGGCCGUAACUGACACUGAGGGACGAAAGCUAGGGGAGCGAAUGGGAUUAGAUACCCCAGUAGUCCUAGCCGUAAACGAUGGAUACUAGGCGUGGCUUGUAUCGACCCGAGCCGUGCCGUAGCUAACGCGUUAAGUAUCCCGCCUGGGGAGUACGCCGGCAACGGUGAAACUCAAAGGAAUUGACGGGGGCCCGCACAAGCGGUGGAGUAUGUGGUUUAAUUCGAUGCAACGCGAAGAACCUUACCAAGGCUUGACAUGUCGCGAAUCCUGGUGAAAGCUGGGAGUGCC
rnacentral:rRNA from 1 species